rnacentral:lncRNA from 1 species
UCUUAGUAAUAUCACUAUGCAUAAGUAUAACCUUUUAUUCUUGAGCACCAUUUAUUCUUGUUGAUCAUCCUAGUCCAUGCUAGUGUUAUAGACUUAAAGUACUCUAUUGAGAUGAUUAUCAUAUUUAUAUGUGGCUAUGUGCUCUCAUUUAUCUUCUAUCACUUAUUAUUCAUAUUUAUAUUGUUUAUCUUUGUGACACCCUAAAACUUACUCCUUUUUGAAAUAGGUGAAAAUGAUUUAAUUUUGUAUUUUUGUGCUCAUAAAACAAAGGAAAAUAGUAUUAUCAUUCAAAUAAAAUUUAUUAUGGGAUUUAGCAACUUGUUGUGCAAUCAUAUUUGUAGCAUUUAUUUUCAUUGUAUUGUGUGAAUUUGAGAAAAGUCAAAAUAUUUUUAAAAUGAUUUCUAAACUGUUUUAAAAAGCACUUAGAAAUAAAAAGAAAAGAAAAGCAAAGCAAAGAAAAGAAAAGAAAAGAAAAGAAAAGAAAAGAAAAGAAGAAAACUCACCCCUCUGUUCUGGCCGAAGGCCCAACUCUUCCUCUCCCCCUUUCUGGUCUUGGCCCAGCAGCGUUCCCCUCGCCUCGGCCCAGAGAGCGGCCCAGUUGGCCAGCCACGCCCGCCCCAUCUCUCUACCUCCCCGCCACUUCUCUCACUGCCAGCCAGGCCCCGCAUGUCAGCCGCGUCGUCAUCUUCUUCCUUGAGUCGUGCCCGAUCAGGACACGGGGUUACCGCCGCCAAUCCCAAGUGUCCGGGAUUUCUUGCCUAAAAUCGACUGCCGAGCCCCUAUAAAGGACCGAGACUCCCUCCGCGCCGACCUUGUUGCCCUAGCUCCGCUUUUAGCUGUCGUUUAGAUCUCGCCGCAAGCCGAGGAAUGGCCGCCGCCGUGGUCCUCGCUCCAAGGUGCUCAAGGGCCGUUCACAACCUCGUGUCGAGCUUCGUGUCGCCCCGGAGAAGCUGUGGAGCACUUCUCUUUGCUCUCUACUGGCCUUUACGAAGCCCC